ACACCAGGGUCACUUUGUGCAUUCUGUGGAACUAGACAAGUGGACAGUGACGUGAGUCCAUCAGUGUGGCCUGGCACAGUGCAGUUCCCGCCCUCAUCCUGUCUGAGCUCCAGCUGUUCCUCUCCCCCCUAUAUGCUGUGGACCUUCAUGAUUUUCCAUCCUUUAGCUUCACCUGGGCAGAGUGACAAGGGCCUGGAAUUUACAGCAGUAAAUGUUGUCUAAAACAGUGACUUUUGGCUGCCAGGUCUGAAAUCAAACACCACACAUGGGACAUGAUCCUGAGAAAGCAUUUCAUGGAGCAGAAAACUAAGAAGUCCUCCCUGUACCUGUGCCCUUCACCCUUCUCCAUCCCGGGCUCCAGAGCAAAGCUAUAGCCUCUGCUGAGCUGGUGUUUGCAGGGUCAGGGCUUAAAAUAGUGUCCCUACUCUGCUUCAUUCUGAUUGUUCCUGAUUUUGUGUUACAUCCAUUGAGGGACAGCUCUCAUGUUCUUUUGACAAGUGUCCAUCACCGUUCCUUAGUCCUGGUGUUCACCCAGACCUCCUGCUCUCAAACAUCAAAUGUGGAGCAUAAACCUACUUGUUAUAGUUGAAUUAUACAACCUGGCACAAGCAAUAAAGAAUUUUACAUUUCUGGUU